AAGUCGAACGCGAAAAGGGGGCAACCCCUGAGUAGAGUGGCGAACGGGUGAGUAAUACAUCGGAACGUGCCCAGUAGCGGGGGAUAACCUCUCGAAAGAGAGGCUAAUACCGCAUACGUCCUACGGGAGAAAGAGGGGGAUCGCAAGACCUCUCACUAUUGGAGCGGCCGAUGUCGGAUUAGCUAGUUGGCGGGGUAACGGCCCACCAAGGCUACGAUCCGUAGCUGGUCUGAGAGGACGACCAGCCACACUGGAACUGAGACACGGUCCAGACUCCUACGGGAGGCAGCAGUGGGGAAUUUUGGACAAUGGGCGCAAGCCUGAUCCAGCCAUGCCGCGUGGGUGAAGAAGGCCUUCGGGUUGUAAAGCCCUUUCGGCUGGGACGAAAAGGUCCGCGCUAACACCGCGGAUCCAUGACGGUACCAGCAGAAGAAGCACCGGCUAACUACGUGCCAGCAGCCGCGGUAAUACGUAGGGUGCAGGCGUUAAUCGGAAUUACUGGGCGUAAAGCGUGCGCAGGCGGUCUCUUAAGACAGGUGUGAAAUCCCCGAGCUUAACUUGGGAACUGCGCUUGUAACUGAGAGGCUAGAGUGUGGCAGAGGGGGGGUGGAAUUCCACGUGUAGCAGUGAAAUGCGUAGAGAUGUGGAGGAACACCGAUGGCGAAGGCAGCCCCCUGGGCUAACACUGACGCUCAUGCACGAAAGCGUGGGGAGCAAACAGGAUUAGAUACCCUGGUAGUCCACGCCCUAAACUAUGUCAACUGGUUGUCGGGGAAGCAA
rnacentral:rRNA from 1 species